ensembl:lncRNA
UAUACAAGAAAAAGUGUGUGUGUGUGAGAGAGAGAGAGUUUGAGAUUGAGAGAGAGAGAGAGAGAGAGAGAGAGAGAGAGUUAAGCUACAUUGAGGGGAUUAUUGGAUAGUGUUCACUUAAAGUCAUUGAGGGUUGAUGAUGUUUUGGCAAUGUUAAGAUAAGAAUUCCACAGUAUGGUGAAUUGACUAUGUGAGGUGCGGCAGAGAGGAGGGUGAAGGUUAUCACAGUCUUGUGUUAUAUACAUAGAUUUCAGAAUUACAUCGAAAAAUCCAUUGAAGAGUUUAGGUAAACUGUCUGUGAGGAAUUAAUAUUUGUAGAUGAUAAUUGGCGUACAUUCAUUUUUAUUUUAUUUUUAUUUCACCUUUAUUUAACCAGGUAGGCUAGUUGAGAACAAGUUCUCAUUUGCAACUGCGACCUGGCCAAGAUAAAGCAUAGCAGUGUGAACAGACAACACAGAGUUACACAUGGAGUAAACAAUUAACAAGUCAAUAACACAGUAGAAAAAAAGGGGAGUCUAUAUACAUUGUGUGCAAAAGGCAUGAGGAGAUAGGCGAAUAAUUACAAUUUUGCAGAUUAACACUGGAGUGAUAAAUGAUCAGAUGGUCAUGUACAGCUAGAGAUAUUGGUGUGCAAAAGAGCAGAAAAGUAAAUAAAUAAAAACAGUAUUGGGAUGAGGUAGGUAAAAAUGGAUGGGCUAUUUACCGAUAGACUAUGUACAGCUGCAGCGAUCGGUUAGCUGCUCAGAUAGCAGAUGUUUGAAGUUGGUGAGGGAGAUAAAAGUCUCCAACUUCAGCGAUUUUUGCAAUUCGUUCCAGUCACAGGCUGCAGAGAACUGGAACGAAAGGCGGCCAAAUGAGGUGUUGGCUUUAGGAAUGAUCAGUGAGAUACACCUGCUGGAGCGCGUGCUACGGAUGGGUGUUGCCAUCGUGACCAGUGAACUGGCGGAGCUUUACCUAGCAUGGACUUGUAGAUGACCUGGAGCCAGUGGGUCUGGCGACGAAUAUGUAGCGAGGGCCAGCCGACUAGAGCAUACAAGUCGCAGUGGUGGGUGGUAUAAGGUGCUUUAGUGACAAAACGGAUGGCACUGUGAUAAACUGCAUCCAGUUUUCUGAGUAGAGUGUUGGAAGCAAUUUUGUAGAUGACAUCGCCAAAGUCGAGGAUCGGUAGGAAUGUCGUAAAUGGAGAUGAUAUUGAGUUUUUUAAACAAAGGUGCAGAUGGAGCCAGGUAAUUAGAGAGGGUGGAUAGUCUUGCAAAUACAUUUUUUGUAUGAUGAGUCAGUUGUGUAGGUGGCCCAGACAAUAUUAUUACAGUAAUUGAGAUAUGGAUAAAUUAAACUAUAGUAUAGAGUUAGGAAGCAAGCCUGAUGAACCAAAUCACAAAUCUUUCUGAUGAAACCAACAUAUUUCAACACUGCUACAGACAAAUUGAAUAUGAUCUUUCCAGUAUGACUUUUCAUCAAUUAGAACUCAGAGGAAUCUAGUGGAUGUGACGUGUUAAGAUUUCAUUCCCAACAAUUGAGAGCCUCUUAUAUAAUUUUUUAAAUAUUUUUUUUAUUCUUAUACUUACUAGUGAAUACAAUAAAGUUCCAUUUUUUUUUGCAUUUGAAGAUCAUUUGUUUACCUGGAACCAUUCAGAAAAUGUGUCCAUACCCCAGUUUGCUUCAUUAAACAUUUUUGUGUGGUAAAAUCAAAUUGAGGUCAUCAGCAAAGAAAAUGGGAAGUACUUUAGAAGACAUAGCAGCAAGUGUAACCUAUGUGAAAUGGCUAGCUAGUUAGCGAUGCGCGCUAGUAGUGCUUCAAUCGGUGACGUCACUCGCUCUGAGGCCUUUAAGUAGUUGUUUCACUUGCUCUACAAGGGCCGUGGCUUUUGUGGAGCGAUGGGUAAUGGUGCUUUGAUGGUGACCGUUGUGAAUGUGUGCAGAGGGUCUCUGGUUCGAACCUAGGUAGGGGCGAGGAAAGGGACGGAAGCAAUACUGUUACACAAGGUCAUUGAUAUAGAUUAUGAAAAACAAAGGUCCACUUAUUGAUCCCUACGGCACACCAAAGGAUAUCAACAAAACAGGCUCUAAGUUCAAACUGUGACCCACAUUCCCUCAGUAACACUUCAUUUAAGGAGUCCUUUUGACAGUGUAAUAACGUGCAAUUACACUGUAACAAGUAUUGCAGUUAAUUUGAAACGACUCAAAGUUACACUGUGAUAACAACAUGUAACUGGUGGUAAUUGUGGUCUGUAAUUACAGAGGUGUUACACUAAAUGCUUGUCAACAUGCUUGUUACAAAAUUGCAAAGUUCCAUUAAAUUCACCAAUCUAUAAUUUGGUUUAUUCUCAGCUGCAUCUGAUAUGGCGAAAACGGGAUUGUCUUUUUCUUCCCUUUUUAACAUUACAAGUCAGAAUAUAAAUUGACAAAAUAUUAACUAUUAAAAAUGCAACAUAGGGUCUCAUGGUUCCCUUCUGUGUCUUGUUCUGUUUCUUGUUAGCAUUUUCCCAUCCUGGAGUCUGAG